CGUAGGGUGCGAGCGUUAAUCGGAAUUACUGGGCGUAAAGCGUGCGCAGGCGGUUUUGUAAGACAGAUGUGAAAUCCCCGGGCUCAACCUGGGACCUGCAUUUGUGACUGCAAGGCUAGAGUACGGUAGAGGGGGAUGGAAUUCCGCGUGUAGCAGUGAAAUGCGUAGAUAUGCGGAGGAACACCGAUGGCGAAGGCAAUCCCCUGGACCUGUACUGACGCUCAUGCACGAAAGCGUGGGGAGCAAACAGGAUUAGAUACCCUGGUAGUCCACGCCCUGAACGAUGCGAACUGGACGUUGGGAACAACUUGGCUCUCAGUGUCGAAGCUAACGCGUUAAGUUCGCCGCCUGGGGAGUACGGUCGCAAGACUG
rnacentral:rRNA from 1 species